UUACACUUCUGUAAUUAAUCUAAUUCAUUUUUAAAUGAAAUAAGGGACUGAAUUCUAGAUAUCUAUGUAUACAAUUAAUUUCAUUUCAUUAUUAGUGGGAGGGGAAAUUUUCUUGAUGCACACCUAUCCAACUUGUUUAAAAACCACUUAAAAAUUUGUAGAAUAUGUUCAAUAAUUGUUCUUUUCAUGCCUGUAUUGGUAUAGACCUUA
rnacentral:lncRNA from 1 species